AUGACAUUAAAAAUUGAUUCUAAUGGUAAUGUGUUCUGUUUCAAGUUGAAUUUUUUUAUUUUUGAGAUCCAAUUGCUUGCUUUUUAUGAGAGUUUGAGAAAUGGGAACACUAUUAUUUUAUUGGAGAGUUGUUGCAGUUAAUGUGAUGUUACUUAAGCUACACUUUUAUCAAUUAUUUCAUCCUUAAUUGUGAGUUUGUGAUUAAUUUUGUAUUCUGUUAAUCAAUUUAUUUUAGGGUUGGGUUUUGUGUGGGGUUUAUGUUAUGUAGAGAGACUCAUGAAUGCAACGAUAAAUGAAAAUCAAACUCAGACUUUACUUUUAGCAAUUGUCAUUUUUAGUUUGUUAUAUUUUUGUGCAGAAUGAAAAACUUAUACAAGGGUUGUUGGGCCUAAUGACACUUUUUUGGGUUUUCUGCAUCUAACCUUCGAUUAUGUGGUAUAAUUAGAUGUUUCUCUCAUAAUUUUUUUAGAGCAGUUUUAAGUGGGUCUUAGUAGGAGGAUGGGUAUGUAGCUCAACCUUGAAACAAAUACUUUCACAUUACAAAUUUGGACAUACUUUGGCAUCUCAAACAACAAAUUCAUCAAAUUUGGUGAUACCUUGGUAUCUAACAAAGAUCUGCAACUUUUAUUUUAGCCCUCAAAUAAAGUGCAAGUGUGUAGGUAAGUGUUAUUUAAAUUCUUUUAUUUGAUAAAAGAUUUUCCCAAUAAUAUCAAAGUUUGGGGGUCUUGCUAUUUAUAUUUGGUAGUCUUAUAUUUUUUGAUAUAUUUGCCUUGCACUUUUUGGUGCAUUGUUUUAUUUCAUAGGGAUGAAGAACUCAAUUCUAAGGAAGCAAACCCAAAUGAAGACCACCAGACCAAAGACAAUUUAAAUUUUUAGAAG
rnacentral:lncRNA from 1 species